CCAUGAUGAGACACCAGCUGGCACCAGUCAUAGAGUGACUUGUACUCCCUUCAUUGAUGACCAAAUUGCUUGGUCCAAGACCAUCUCUGAC
rnacentral:snoRNA from 1 species